AGACUCUACGACAUCAAGAAAC
rnacentral:miRNA from 1 species